CCAGACUCCUACGGGAGGCAGCAGUGGGGGAUAUUGCACAAUGGGGGGAACCCUGAUGCAGCGACGCCGCGUGGGUGAAGGAGUAUUUCGGUAUGUAAAGCCCUAUCGGCAGGGAAGAAGCAAGACGGUACCUGACUAAGAAGCCCCGGCUAACUACGUGCCAGCAGCCGCGGGAAUACGUAGGGGGCAAGCGUUAUCCGGAUUUACUGGGUGUAAAGGGAGCGUAGGUGGCAGGGCAAGUCAGAUGUGAAAACCCGGGGCUCAACCCCGGGAGUGCAUUUGAAACUGUCCAGCUGGAGUGCAGGAGAGGUAAGCGGAAUUCCUAGUGUAGCGGUGAAAUGCGUAGAUAUUAGGAGGAACACCAGUGGCGAAGGCGGCUUACUGGACAGUAACUGACGUUGAGGUUCGAAAGCGUGAGGAGCAAACAGGAUUAGAUACCCGCGUAA
rnacentral:rRNA from 1 species